rnacentral:rRNA from 1 species
UACGUAGGGUGCAAGCGUUAUCCGGAAUUAUUGGGCGUAAAGAGCUCGUAGGCGGUUUGUCGCGUCUGCUGUGAAAAUCCGGGGCUCAACCCCGGACUUGCAGUGGGUACGGGCAGACUAGAGUGUGGUAGGGGAGACUGGAAUUCCUGGUGUAGCGGUGAAAUGCGCAGAUAUCAGGAGGAACACCGGUGGCGAAGGCGGUUCUCUGGGCAUUACCUGACGGCUGAGGAGCGAAAGUGUGGGGAGCGAACAGG